rnacentral:tRNA from 1 species
GCCUGGCUCAGUUGGUAGAGCAUGUGACUCUUGAUCUCAGGGUCAUGAGUUUGAGUCCCAUAUUGGGCU